GGCUUGUAGAGUAUAAUUUCAAGUCUAACCUGCCCAAUGAGAGUUUAAUGGCCGCGGUAUAUUGACCGUGCAAAGGUAGCAUAAUCAUUAGUUUUUUAAUUGAAAGCUUGUAUGAAGGGUAAAAUGAAAAAAAUACUGUCUCUUAAAAAGUUUAUUAGAAUUUUAUUUUUAAGUCAAAAAGCUUAAAUAUUUAUAGAAGACGAGAAGACCCUAUAGAGUUUUAUAUAUAAAGUGAGAUAGGGUGUUUUGGUUUUGUAUGUAUUUUAUUUUAUUUAUUUUGUUGGGGUGAUAAAAAAAUUAAAUUAACUUUUUUUACAUUUAAACAUUUAUGUGUGGAUAUUUGAUCCUAAAGUUAUAGAUUGAAAGAUAAAUUACCUUAGGGAUAACAGCGUAAUUUUUCUUAGAGUUCUUAUCGAAAGAAAAGAUUGCGACCUCGAUGUUGGAUUAAAAUUUAUUAUAGGUGUAGGAGCUUAUAAAUUAGGUCUGUUCGACCUUUAAAAUUUUACAUGAUCUGAGUUUAAACCGGUGUGAG
rnacentral:rRNA from 1 species